UAAGACCUACGGGGGGCAGCAGUGGGGAAUAUUGCACAAUGGAGGGAACUCUGAUGCAGCGACGCCGCGUGAGCGAAGAAGUAUUUCGGUAUGUAAAGCUCUAUCAGCAGGGAAGAAAAUGACGGUACCUGACUAAGAAGCCCCGGCUAAAUACGUGCCAGCAGCCGCGGUAAUACGUAUGGGGCAAGCGUUAUCCGGAUUUACUGGGUGUAAAGGGAGCGCAGGCGGCUUGGCAAGUCUGAUGUGAAAGGCUGGGGCUCAACCCCAGGACUGCAUUGGAAACUGUUAGGCUAGAGUGUCGGAGG
rnacentral:rRNA from 1 species